GUGGGGAAUCUUCCGCAAUGGACGAAAGUCUGACGGAGCAACGCCGCGUGAGUGAUGAAGGUCUUCGGAUUGUAAAGCUCUGUUAAUCGGGACGAAAGAGCCUAGUGUGAAUAAUGCUAGGAAGUGACGGUACCGGAAUAGAAAGCCACGGCUAACUACGUGCCAGCAGCCGCGGUAAUACGUAGGUGGCAAGCGUUGUCCGGAAUUAUUGGGCGUAAAGCGCGCGCAGGCGGAUCUGCCAGUCUGUCUUAAAAGUUCGGGGCUUAACCCCGUGAUGGGAUGGAAACUACAGAUCUAGAGUAUCGGAGAGGAAAGCGGAAUUCCUAGUGUAGCGGUGAAAUGCGUAGAUAUUAGGAAGAACACCAGUGGCGAAGGCGACUUGCUGGGCAGCAACUGACGCUGAGGCGCGAAAGCCAGGGGAGCAAACGGGAUUAGAUACCCGUGUAGUCC
rnacentral:rRNA from 1 species